rnacentral:rRNA from 1 species
UACAUGGGGUGCAAACGUUGCUCGGAAUUAUUGGGCGUAAAGCGCGCGUAGGCGGUUACUUAUGUCGGAUGUGAAAGCCCUCGGCUUAACUGAGGAAGUGCAUUCGAAACUGGGUAGCUAGAGUACUAAAGAGGGUCGCGGAAUUCCCGGUGUAGCGGUGAAAUGCGCAGAUAUCGGGAAGAACACCCGUGGCGAAGGCGGUUCUCUGGGACGGUACUGACGCUGAGACGCGAAAGCGUGGGGAGCGAACAGG